rnacentral:rRNA from 1 species
AGAGUUUGAUCCUGGCUCAGAUUGAACGCUGGCGGCAUGCCUUACACAUGCAAGUCGAACGGCAGCACGAGAGCUUGCUCUUGGUGGCGAGUGGCGAACGGGUGAGUAAUAUAUCGGAACGUACCCUAGAGUGGGGGAUAACGUAGCGAAAGUUACGCUAAUACCGCAUACGAUCUACGGAUGAAAGUGGGGGAUCGCAAGACCUCAUGCUCAUGGAGCGGCCGAUAUCUGAUUAGCUAGUUGGUGGGGUAAAAGCUCACCAAGGCGACGAUCAGUAGCUGGUCUGAGAGGACGACCAGCCACACUGGAACUGAGACACGGUCCAGACUCCUACGGGAGGCAGCAGUGGGGAAUUUUGGACAAUGGGCGCAAGCCUGAUCCAGCAAUGCCGCGUGAGUGAAGAAGGCCUUCGGGUUGUAAAGCUCUUUUGUCAGGGAAGAAACGGUGGACUCUAAUACAGAUCACUAAUGACGGUACCUGAAGAAUAAGCACCGGCUAACUACGUGCCAGCAGCCGCGGUAAUACGUAGGGUGCAAGCGUUAAUCGGAAUUACUGGGCGUAAAGUGUGCGCAGGCGGUUGUGCAAGACAGAUGUGAAAUCCCCGGGCUCAACCUGGGAAUUGCAUUUGUGACUGCACGGCUAGAGUGUGUCAGAGGGGGGUAGAAUUCCACGUGUAGCAGUGAAAUGCGUAGAGAUGUGGAGGAAUACCGAUGGCGAAGGCAGCCCCCUGGGAUAACACUGACGCUCAUGCACGAAAGCGUGGGGAGCAAACAGGAUUAGAUACCCUGGUAGUCCACGCCCUAAACGAUGUCUACUAGUUGUCGGGUCUUAAUUGACUUGGUAACGCAGCUAACGCGUGAAGUAGACCGCCUGGGGAGUACGGUCGCAAGAUUAAAACUCAAAGGAAUUGACGGGGACCCGCACAAGCGGUGGAUGAUGUGGAUUAAUUCGAUGCAACGCGAAAAAUCUUACCUACCCUUGACAUGUCUGGAAUCCUUGAGAGAUCAGGGAGUGCUCGAAAGAGAAUCAGAACACAGGUGCUGCAUGGCUGUCGUCAGCUCGUGUCGUGAGAUGUUGGGUUAAGUCCCGCAACGAGCGCAACCCUUGUCAUUAGUUGCUACGAAAGGGCACUCUAAUGAGACUGCCGGUGACAAACCGGAGGAUGGUGGGGAUGACGUCAAGUCCUCAUGGCCCUUAUGGGUAGGGCUUCACACGUCAUACAAUGGUACAUACAGAGGGCCGCCAACCCGCGAGGGGGAGCUAAUCCCAGAAAGUGUAUCGUAGUCCGGAUUGUAGUCUGCAACUCGACUACAUGAAGUUGGAAUCGCUAGUAAUCGCGGAUCAGCAUGUCGCGGUGAAUACGUUCCCGGGUCUUGUACACACCGCCCGUCACACCAUGGGAGCGGGUUUCACCAGAAGUGGGUAGCCUAACCGCAAGGAGGGCGCUCACCACGGUGGGAUUCGUGACUGGGGUGAAGUCGUAACAAGGUA